CCUGGCCACUGAGGAUUAUCAACUGGUUAUACAUAACGGUACACUGGGUCUAUCUCCAUGGGUAAACAAAGGACUUUGUUAAGGGUGUUUUCAGGGACUCGUAAUCUGGCCUAAUAUGUUGAAAAAUCAGUGAAAACUUAGUUUAAACUGUAAUUUCAAGGGAAAAUGGCUCUUUAACGAAUUUUUAAGGGAUGAAGAUGUUCAUAGUGGUCUAUGGUCUCAACUCGUUCAGUGCCCAUGGAAAAGAACCCAAUACAAGGGACCUGGUAUAUGCCCCAUUUAGACUAUGGGUCCCAACUUCAAUUGGGACCAUCCCAACUAAAGUGUUUGUUUUUAAACACUUGAGUUGGGAUGGUCUUAGUUGGGUCCUUCAUGGUUCACCUGGUAGUUAGGGCAUAAUGUUGUAACAAAAAUCCUCAUGUGCCUGGGUUAACUUCUACUAUCAGAGCAUCUUUUUAACACACCGCAGUUUUCUUUUCAUCAGGUUAAGUAAUGAUAGUGACUUUACUGAAGACGAAGUGAUUUUAAGUAAUGUUUUUGUCAAGGCAUUCCGUACAGUUUUUAACCUUUGUGACCAUCAAUUUGGUGUCUUUAGAGUAUUUUAAAAUUUGUAUUGAAAUUUUCAUAUUGCGCUGUUAUUUUCUCCCAAAGAUGAUCACAGCUUUUUGAGUGAAACAUUUAAGGUUAUCCACCGGUUCUUCUGAGCACCACCUUGUUACCAUGCAGACACACACCAAAAGUAUCUUUCAUGGUAUUGCUAUAAGUUAACCAUUCCCAAUAACAUUCUAUUGGGUCAUUCCUUGUCAAAUCACCCAAUUGCCGGGUAGAACCCCAAAUUUGCUCAUAUUAAGUACGUGGGGUAAGUUAUAUGAACCCAUUUCAGGGGGAAAAAAUCCCUGAAUUGAAUCCACUAGUACAGUCGACUCUCGCUAUAAAGAGCACUUUUAUAAAGAGGUUCUGCUUAUAAAGAGCAAAUUCUGAGGUCCCAAAUCUCAAGUUUUCUUUGUGUUUCUUUGUUUCGCUGUCCUUUGAUAACAACAUUCCUGUUAUAAAAACAUUCCUGUUACUAAAGAGGUAAUUUAGCUGGUCACAUCGACCUUGUUAUAACGAGAGUCAACUGUACACUGUAGGGACAAAAACAAAAACCCUAUAUCCACUAGUACACUGCAUAGGGAUAUCACCUUUUGAAACACGUAUGUCAACUUUAAAAGGAGCUAGGAACCAAACAAAAAAUGUUAUACCCAAUUUUUGGAUAUUUUGUAGAAAACGUGGUGGGGUUUAAUUUCCAUCCAAGUUCAUCUCAGGGUCGGGUGAUCCACAAGGUCAAAUUCAAGGUCAGAGUAAAAGUCAAAAGAAACCAAGAUUAACACAUUAUGCCUAAAGCUUAAUGAGAUAUGGUCAUUUGAAAAUUGGCAGCGACGCCCAUUUUGACCAAAAUUGCCAAACAAUGGCGGGCGGUAGCGCAAAAACCAUUUGCCUGACCAUGGUCCGGCGGCUGUUAAACUUAAAUUUUCAGCUUUUUCAGCCUAUAUUACCACACAAAAACUAAAUAUGAACCAAUUUGAAAGGGGUGGGUUUUUAAUUUUUAAAUGUGUUGGGUGAUUUGAAACGGAAUGACCCUAUUGUUUAAAUUUACUACCAUAAAUAUAUAUUUUUUGUAACUAUAAAUAUUGCAGUUUGUACUUAUGGGGUGGCCACACACAUUGAAGACCUGAAAUACAGAUUUGCAAUAUUUUGACCAAAAAAGUUAUUUUGUUUAUUUUAAUCUUAAUAUAUCUUAAUUUCUCUUAAAAGAUCAAUUUAUGAGUAUUUACAAAAGCAGCUUUAUUAAUUAAGUCAUACAUAGAUAUGUGUGGACGUUAUUAAAAAAAAAAUAGAUAGUGCUGCCAGA